GGAAUGGGAACAGGUCAAGUGCCCACAAAAAGAUGGUCAUUUCUCACCUCUUUCUUCCCCAACAAAUAAUGAUUGAUUAUGGACCUCAAAGACAGACGGGAAGGAGCUUGUUCCUGGUCCCACAGUCCCUGACUGCGCCUCCAGUUGGCAGCUGAAACCCUUCACCACCAUAGAGGGUAUUAGAAAUACAGGGGACGUAGGGAGAGAAAGGCUAAGAAAGAGAGGGGAAAAUGGACAAGCGGAUCCUAAAAUUCAGGUGGAAAUGCAAGGAGCUCAGAAGAGCCAACCUAAUCUAGAAAGAGAAACACAAAUUUGGAGGAACACUUCCGGAUUUCGAAACUUAACUGCACGCUAAAGUCAUCAAGUCAAGUCGGUACUGGCAUAAAGAUAGACACAGAGGUUUAUGGAACAGAGUUGAGAGUCCAGAGAGAAACCCUUCCCUAUAUUUACCGUCAGUUGAGUUUUGGCAAGAGGGCCGAGUCUGUUCAAUGGGAAAGAACAGUCUUUUCAACAGCUGGUGCCGGGACAACUGGCUUUCCACAGGCAAGUAAAAGAAAGUGCACCCCUACUUCAUACCACACACAAAAUCCAAUCAUUAUGGAGCGAAAAUCAAAAUGGGAGCGCUAACACCCUAAAACUCUUAGAAGAAAACAUAGCUGUACGUCUUCACAGCCUUGGAUUAAAUCACACUUUCCUGGCUCUGACAUCAAAAGCCCAAGCACGCAAAGAAAAAGUAGGCAAGGUGGGCUUCUUUAAAAGUAAAAACUUGUGUGAAUUGAAGCACCCCAUCCAGAAAAUGGAAAGGCAACGCACGUAAUGGGAGCAUGUAUUUGGAAGGCAUCUGAUAACUCGAGCAUCCAGAAUAUAUAAACAAGCCCACAAUACCAAGGUAAGUAACCCAAGUUAAAC